rnacentral:rRNA from 1 species
UGGGAAGUCUCAGUUACUUGGAUAACUGCGGUAAUUCUGGAACUAAUACAUGCCCACAGCCCCGACUUACGUAGGGCUGCUUUUAUUAAAUCAAAACCAAACGGCUCCCGCCGUCUUUCUGGUGAUUCUGAAUAACUUUGGGCUGAUCGCAUGGCCUCGCGCCGGCGACGUAUCCUUCCAAGGUGUGCCCUAUCAACUGUCGACUGUGGCAUAGACGCCCACAGUGGUUUUGACGGGUAACGGGGAAUUAGGGUUCGAUUCCGGAGAGGGAGCCUGAGAAACGGCUACCACUUCUACGGAAGGCAGCAGGCACGCAAAUUACCCACUGGUCGAAGACCGAGGUAGUGACGAAAAAUAACGAUACCGGACUCAUCCGAGGCCCGGUAAUCGGAAUGAGAACACUUUAAAUCCUUUACCGAGGAACAAUUGGAGGGCAAGUCUGGU